UACCGGAGAAUGUUAUCACGGGAGACACACGGCGGGUGCUAACGUCCGUCGUGAAGAGGGAAACAACCCAGACCGCCAGCUAAGGUCCCAAAGUCAUGGUUAAGUGGGAAACGAUGUGGGAAGGCCCAGACAGCCAGGAUGUUGGCUUAGAAGCAGCCAUCAUUUAAAGAAAGCGUAAUAGCUCACUGGUCGAGUCGGCCUGCGCGGAAGAUGUAACGGGGCUAAA
rnacentral:rRNA from 1 species